rnacentral:ribozyme from 1 species
UGCCCAGCAACUUCUAUUCCUGCUUCCGCGUGGCACUGGCCGGACUGCGAGCAACUUUAGGGAAGAUCGGGUAACCAAUCCCGCUGGAAACUUUCUUCGUUAGAUGACAGGGAAGG